rnacentral:lncRNA from 1 species
GAAAAUAUUUAUAAAAGUUGCGAAAAAGGACAUCGAGUGUCGUUUAGACGCAAAACUUUAAGUGCGAUUUCCCGGGGUUCCAUAACUCCAAAAAUUAAUCCGUUCGGGUUUAUGGAAUCCUUGAAUUACCCUCUUUCAUAAGAAAUUUUCAAAAACGCAAUCCGAUGUUGAGAUCUCGAGACACCCGAUUUUGUGUGUUUUGGGCAAUUAAAGGAGGAAAAAAACCCAUGUGGACCCACAUGACUUGCAUGGGAGAAAAAUCCCCAGCCAAUUGCUUCUCCUCUUGGUCUUAUCCACGUGAUCUUCUCCUCAUCCUCACUCUUUUGCUUGCACACUUCAAUUUGUGAGUACAUUGCUUGGUUGGAGGCAUGGCCCAAACUUGUAUGUGAGUGUGUGUGUUUACUAUAAAAUGAGGCUUAGACACCUUCAUUUCUCACUCACAAAAUCUGCCAUCAUCUUCCUCUUCUUCCCCUCUCUCUCUCUCUCUCUCAAUCUUGAUCUCUAUAUCCCUUUCUAUCUCCCUUAGAUUGAAUAACCACCAUUUCCACCACCUACUGUUGUCACAAGCUCCUCCGUCCAGCACCAAUCUUGCACCAUCACUACCAUAUUGGUGCCACCGUAUGUCCUCCAUUGCUAAGAUUAUUAUUAUUAUUAUUAUUAUUAUUAUUAUUAUUUUCCUAUGUUGUUCGAACUCACUAGGGAAGCAAGGCAAAUUCAUGUGUUUUCUUUUUUUAAAACCUCAUGCACAUAUGUGAUGUAUUUUCGAUCAGUAGCCAAAAGAAAGAAGCCAUUCAUUUCUUUUAUUAGCCAUACAUACAAAUUGUUUGUUUGAUCAGUAAAAUCUGAAAAUAAAGCUCAAACUUCCAUUUAUUUUAUUGAAAACAAACCCUCAAGUUGUGUUUAGUUUACAAAAGUAGCCCAUUCUUAUUUCUUAAUUUACAAACAACAUAUAUAUUUAUAUAUGUAAAUACGAAAGAAACAUAUAUACAUAUUUUUCUUUUUUCCUUUUUCUUUUCCAAACUUCCAUUUCAAUUAACUACAUAUAGUCCUUAUAGUAAUUCAAAAUAAUUAAAAGCCCCCUCCAUGGAAUUUCAUCGCAAAAUAAGUCCAAGAUGCAAACUUGGAAUUUAUAUAAUUCAUUUUAGCCAUUAAUUUGAAAAGUAUUGACAAACAUAACACCAUUUGAUUUAUUAAAUUAGUAAAUGGACCCCAUACCUUGGUUAAUUACCAAACUACCCUCCAAAUAUUAAUUAUAUUAAUAUUUCCUUAGGAAACUAAAUUUUCUCGGAGAUUCAUAUUCACGGAAAUACUACUCGACCUCCUCGCAUCCAUUCCAGAACACUAAUCGUCUAUCGAACGUUAAGGUGAGUGCAUAGUUACUUUCAGCUUACACAUAGAUAUGAAGUAUUUUAUAUAAAUUACGUGCUAUAUGUGCAUAUUAUCUGAAUACUUGCUAUCUAUGCUAGAUGAACAUUGUUAUACAUGUUUUCAAUGAUUUAAACUGUAUAUGUAUUUUAUAUCUACGAAAAUGUUGGGGUAAAACAUGGGUAGAUGUAAUAGCUGAUGUGUGAUAAAAUGAUGAGAGGCCUCGAUGUUGAUGUUGUUGUUUCUGUCAUCUAGCGGAGUAUGGAUGACGACCACGGACUCUUCUAGACAGUCCAGUGGAACACUAGCAGGCUCGCAACCUGUAGGUGUUUGUGAACGACGUGUUCACCGGUGUACUCCAUCCCCCACAUGGUUGCCUUUAGGACAUUUAUUGCUGAGGAAUCCCCUUAGCAGUAGUGUCCGUCCCGAUGAUGAUCCUUAGGCUAGGUCCCUUAUGAUAGGUGUUUAGGGACGUAAAGUGAGGAUAACGGGAACGGGUAAUCGGGUUAUUGUUGAUUGAAUUAAUAAACUUAUUUAUUGUGGGUUGAAAACCCUAUGUGCUCACCAGGCUCCCAAGCCUGACCCACUCAGUUUUAUGUAUUACAGGUAGUGGCGCAUGAGCAUAGGUGUGAUGUUUUGGACGAGGGAUUACGGAUAUAGGCCUGUAGAUAUGAAAUAAUGUAGUAAGGCUUAUAUUGUACUGUUUAUGCUUUUGAUCUGUACGAACAUGACAUCCCGAGUCUUUUAAUGAAAUACAUUUCUAUGGAAAUGCUUUUGAUAAAUCUUUAUCAUAUUUUUGUUUUGGGACAAAUUCCGCAACACUUUCAUUUAAAAUGUAACUCUGAUUUUUAAACAAAGCAUAAACAAACCGGUCUUUU